UUGCGGUCAGAAGCACAUAUACUAAAAUUGCAGUGAUACCAAAGAAGAUUAGCAUGGUCCUGCACAAGGAUUAUAAAUCAAAUAUGUCAAUUGUAUCUAAAAUAG